rnacentral:rRNA from 1 species
UGGGGGAUAUUGCACAAUGGGCGAAAGCCUGAUGCAGCGACGCCGCGUGGGGGAUGAAGGCCUUCGGGUUGUAAACUUCUUUUGCUCUGAACAAGGCAUGCUAAUGGGUGUGUUGAGUGUAGGGGUUGAUUAGCGCCGGCUAACUACGUGCCAGCAGCCGCGGUAAUACGUGGGGCGCGAGCGUUGUCCGGAAUUAUUGGGCGUAAAGGGCUUGUAGGUGGCUGGUUGCGUCUGUCGUGAAAGCUCAUGGCUUAACUGUGGGUUUGCGGUGGGUACGGGCUGGCUUGAGUGCAGUAGGGGAGGCUGGAAUUCCUGGUGUAGCGGUGGAAUGCGCAGAUAUCAGGAGGAAUACCGGUGGCGAAGGCGGGUCUCUGGGCUGUUACUGACACUGAGGAGCGAAAGCAUGGGGAGCGAACAGG